AAUGCACCAAUUUGUAAGUCGCUCUGGGUAAGAGCAUCUGCUAAAUGACUUAAA
rfam:Salmo salar isolate Sally breed double haploid chromosome ssa14, whole genome shotgun sequence.